rnacentral:rRNA from 1 species
GUGCACCAGGCGAGAAACCUUCACAAUGCACGAAAGUGUGAUGAGGGUACUCCGAGUGCGCAUACAUUGUAUGUGCUUUUCUGCAGCGUAAAUAGUUGCAGGAAUAAGGGCUGGGCAAGACCGGUGCCAGCCGCCGCGGUAACACCGGCAGCCCUAGUGGUGGCCGCUUUUAUAGGGCCUAAAGCGUCCGUAGCCGGACAGGCGAGUCUUUGGGUAAAUCCUACGUCUUAAGCGUGGGAAUUCUAAAGAUACUACCUGUCUUGAGGCCGGGAGAGGCUGGAGGUACUCCUGGGGUAGGGGUAAAAUCCUAUAAUCCUGGGGGGACCACCGAUGGCGAAGGCAUCCAGCUGGAACGGGCCUGACGGUGAGGGACGAAACCCAGGGGAGCGAGCCGGAUUAGAUACCCCUGUAGUCC